rnacentral:tRNA from 1 species
GAGGGUGUAGCUCAGAGGCAGAGUGUGUGCUUAGCAUGCACGAGGUCCUGGGUUCAAUCCCCGGUGCCUCCA